CAGGCCUAACACAUGCAAGUCGAACGAGGGCUUCGGCCCUAGUGGCGCACGGGUGAGUAACGCGUGGGAACCUGCCCUGUGGUACGGAAUAACUCCGGGAAACUGGAGCUAAUACCGUAUGUGUCCUGCGGGACAAAGAUUUAUCGCCAUGGGAUGGGCCCGCGUAGGAUUAGCUUGUUGGUGGGGUAACGGCCUACCAAGGCAACGAUCCUUAGCUGGUCUGAGAGGAUGAUCAGCCACACUGGGACUGAGACACGGCCCAGACUCCUACGGGAGGCAGCAGUGGGGAAUAUUGGACAAUGGGCGCAAGCCUGAUCCAGCAAUGCCGCGUGAGUGAUGAAGGCCUUCGGGUUGUAAAGCUCUUUCGCACGCGACGAUGAUGACGGUAGCGUGAGAAGAAGCCCCGGCUAACUUCGUGCCAGCAGCCGCGGUAAU
rnacentral:rRNA from 1 species